rnacentral:rRNA from 1 species
UACGUAGGGUGCGAGCGUUAAUCGGAAUUACUGGGCGUAAAGCGUGCGCAGGCGGUUCGCUAAGACCGAUGUGAAAUCCCCGGGCUUAACCUGGGAACUGCAUUGGUGACUGGCGGGCUAGAGUGUGGCAGAGGGGGGUAGAAUUCCACGUGUAGCAGUGAAAUGCGUAGAGAUGUGGAGGAAUACCGAUGGCGAAGGCAGCCCCCUGGGUUAACACUGACGCUCAGGCACGAAAGCGUGGGGAGCAAACAGG